GCAGACACAUUCCAGCCAAUCAGCAGCAGACCCUCCCUCCCAGACCCUCCCACCUCCUGGACAGCUCACUAAGAAUGAAUGCUGUCCAGGAGUUGGGAGGGUCUGGGAGGGAGGGUCUGCUGCUGAUUGGCUGGAAUGUGUCUG